rnacentral:rRNA from 1 species
UACGUAGGGGGCAAGCGUUGUCCGGAUUCAUUGGGCGUAAAGGGUGCGUAGGCGGCGGGGAAAGUCUGAUGUGAAAUCCUGGGGCUCAACCCUGGAACUGCAUUGGAUACUUCCUUGCUAGAGUACUGGAGAGGAAACUGGAAUUUACGGUGUAGCAGUGAAAUGCGUAGAGAUCGUAAGGAAGACCAGUGGCGAAGGCGAGUUUCUGGACAGUUACUGACGCUGAGGCACGAAGGCCAGGGGAGCAAACGGG